rnacentral:lncRNA from 1 species
CUGUCACUUUGACUCAGUUCCCUUCUGGGUUAACUAAAACAUAUAAUAGGAAGGAGGAAAAAAAUUUGAAAGGAAAUCAAAUGAAAUCCCCAAGCCAAGCUGAAACUACUGGUCUUCUGAAACUACUGCAGUCUUGUAGUAAUAUAAGAUAACAAAAAAACAUAUGUAUUAGGAUGAAGUAACGAAAUGAGCCUUUUCUUCUGUUGUCUU